AGCUCCAAUAGCGUAUAUUAAAGUUGUUGCAGUUAAAAAGCUCGUAGUUGGAUUUGUGGACGGACCGGUCGGUCCUGCACAUAGUGCGGGUACCUGACCUGUCCAUCCAUCUUUGGGUGGAUGCUGUGUGGCAUUAAGUUGUCGUGCAGUGGAUGCCCAUCGUUUACUGUGAAAAAAUUAGAGUGUUCAAAGCAGGCUUACGCCGUUGAAUAUAUUAGCAUGGAAUAAUGAGAUAGGACCUCGGUGCUAUUUUGUUGGUUUGCGCACCGACGUAAUGAUUAACAGGGACAGUUGGGGGUAUUCGUAUUCCAUUGUCAGAGGUGAAAUUCUUGAAUUUCUGGAAGACGCACUAAUGCGAAAGCAUUUACCAAGGAUGUUUUCAUUAAUCAAGAACGAAAGU
rnacentral:rRNA from 1 species